rnacentral:SRP_RNA from 2 species
GCUGGGUAUGGUAGUGCAUGCCUGUAAUCCCAGCUACUUGGGAGGCUGAGGCAGAAGAAUCACUUGAACCCGGGAGCCAGAGGUUGCAGUGAGCCGAGAUCACGCCACUGCACUCCAGCCUGGGCAACAGAGUGAGACUCUGUCUCAA